rnacentral:lncRNA from 13 species
AUGUCCCUCCUUUUGUGAUGGAUUGUGGUCUUUGGAACAGGAGGCAGUAUCUGUCCAGUUGUAAAGGACAGGAAGGAAGCGGUGGCAGGAGGGCAGUUGUUGGAGUGGAAAGAGCUCUGGACUAAGAAUGAAGGUCCCAGGCUGUAUCUUCAGCAGUGUUCUUAGGAACUGUCAGGGAGCAAUUGAUUUCUUCUUCCUGACUUUCUCUGCCUCCAUCUGCAAAGGCAGGUAAAUUUCUCUCUCUCCAUCUGCAAAGGCAGACAUCUUGCAGUGUCUGAAGCAUUCAAAUGUGUGAGCACUUAUGACCGCUUAUCACAAUGAGAUAAAGCCCCUCGCUGUGUGGUGUUGGAGAAAGCACUUGAUGUGUGGGCAUUUGGUGGUAGGAAGUGGUUCAGAUUGGAGCAUUCCCCAUGGAGAGAAUGUCCCUGAAUAACAUAGCAGAAGCCACUUGGAGGGCCUGUGAAGUCACCUGAUGUGCAGAGGAUUGUACAAGUUUGUUUAUCCUCUCCUAAGAGAAAGAAAUAGGUUGUAAAUAUGAGCUGUGACGGCCGCCAAGCCUGUCCCUGGGAAUCAGAUCUGUGUUGGGAUGGGGGGGACAGCUGCCAAAGUCCAGAGAGAGGCUGCACAAGCCUCCAGUGAUGUGGGAGCAGAAGGUCUUUUCAACAUUCGGCCUCAUCUUGAUGGUGAGCCUCCUGAUCCGAAAUGCAUUGCCUGGUGGAUCAGGAAACCAUGCCAGGGCAUUUUGUUAAAGAGAAAACAUGAGAGCUUUCAGUAGAACAGGGACCCAUACACAGAUGUUCAUGUCCCUGCGCACAUUGGGCCGACUGUCCCUGCAGAGUGUGAAAUGGGAAAUAACUGAACUAACACAUCUGUACUUGCAGAAAACGACAAAGACGAGGAUGAAGAUGUUCAUGUCAUGGAGGCUGAGAAAAUCCAGGAAUCACGUGCCCCCAGUGUAAGGAAUACCAGCUGCUGUCUUUCUCUCCGGUUCCCAUGGCAGCCAU